rnacentral:rRNA from 1 species
ACCGAAUAGAUACCCGGGUAGUCCACGCCCUAAACGAUGCGAACUGGAUGUUGGGUACAUUACGGUACUCAGUGUCGGAGCUAAACGCGUUAAGUUCGCCGCCUGGGGAGUACGGUCGCAAGACUGAAACUCAAAGGAAUUGACGGGGGCCCGCACAAGCGGUGGAGUAUGUGGUUUAAUUCGAUGCAACGCGAAGAACCUUACCUGGCCUUGACAUCUGUCGAAUCCUGCAGAGAUGCGGAGUGCCGCAAGGAACGACAAGACAGGUGCUGCAUGGCUGUCGUCAGCUCGUGUCGUGAGAUGUUGGGUUAAGUCCCGCAACGAGCGCAACCCUUGUCCCUAGUUGCCAACACGUAAUGGUGGGAACUCUAGGGAGACUGCCGGUGACAAACCGGAGGAAGGUGGGGAUGACGUCAAGUCCUCAUGGCCCUUACGGCCAGGGCUACACACGUACUACAAUGGUCGGUACAGAGGGUUGCGAAGCCGCGAGGUGGAGCCAAUCCCAGAAAGCCGAUCCCAGUCCGGAUUGGAGUCUGCAACUC